rnacentral:rRNA from 1 species
GAGGGAAAUAUCAUUUACCCGAAGCACACCACUCGCCAAUGUCGACUCCUGAUCCAGCAGUUUCAGGGAAAACAGCCUAAGGACAAGGAGAAGGAGUCGGACAAGGCCGAAGACAAGGAGGACAGUGAGGAAGGAUAUCCGCAUAUCAACUCCACUCUGAUGAUCUUUGCAGAUGUGGAAAGCAGAAGUCGACUGAAAGUGAUUAACCGAGAGGUGAACAUGGUUGCCCCCGCAAAGGCAAAUUAUCUGAAGUGGUCUCAAACACCCAUCACAUUCGACCAAUCUGAUCACCCGACUCAU